GAGAUCGUAGCUCAGUCGGUAGAGCAUCGCACUUUUAAUGCGAGGGUCAUGGGUUCGAGCCCCAUCGAUCUCA
rnacentral:tRNA from 1 species